rnacentral:rRNA from 1 species
AGGACGAACGCUGGCGGCGUGCUUAACACAUGCAAGUCGAGCGGUAAGGCCCUUCGGGGUACACGAGCGGCGAACGGGUGAGUAACACGUGAGCAAUCUGCCCUCCACAUCGGGAUAACCCCCGGAACGGGAGCUAAUACCGGAUACGACCACUUCAGGCAUCUGAUGGUGGUGGAAAGUUCUGGCGGUGGAGGAUGAGCUCGCGGCCUAUCAGCUUGUUGGUGGGGUAAUGGCCCACCAAGGCUUCGACGGGUAGCCGGCCUGAGAGGGUGACCGGCCACACUGGGACUGAGACACGGCCCAGACUCCUACGGGAGGCAGCAGUGGGGAAUAUUGGACAAUGGGCGAAAGCCUGAUCCAGCAACGCCGCGUGAGGGAUGACGGCCUUCGGGUUGUAAACCUCUUUCAGCGCAGACGAAGCGAAAGUGACGGUAUGCGCAGAAGAAGCACCGGCCAACUACGCGCCAGCAGCCGCGGUAA